AUGGGCGCAAGCCUGAUGCAGCCAUGCCGCGUGUGUGAAGAAGGCCUUCGGGUUGUAAAGCACUUUCAGUCGUGAGGAAGGUGGUGUAGUUAAUAGCUGCAUUACUUGACGUUAGCGACAGAAGAAGCACCGGCUAACUCCGUGCCAGCAGCCGCGGUAAUACGGAGGGUGCGAGCGUUAAUCGGAAUUACUGGGCGUAAAGCGCAUGCAGGUGGUUUGUUAAGUCAGAUGUGAAAGCCCGGGGCUCAACCUCGGAAUAGCAUUUGAAACUGGCAGACUAGAGUACUGUAGAGGGGGGUAGAAUUUCAGGUGUAGCGGUGAAAUGCGUAGAGAUCUGAAGGAAUACCGGUGGCGAAGGCGGCCCCCUGGACAGAUACUGACACUCAGAUGCGAAAGCGUGGGGAGCAAAC
rnacentral:rRNA from 1 species